AGACUAUACGUAGGGUACGUGGCACAGUGUACCAACUUAAAUGACGCUCACUUCAAUACCGUAAACAUGGCGUUUACCUUGUGGACACUUUUUGAGGCAACUUUGCUCUGUUUAAACGCCGUUUGCGUUUUAAAUGAAGAGAGGUUUCUCGCUAAAGUUGGUUGGGCAUCAUGGCAGAAUGUUCAAGGAUUUGGUGAGAGACCUACAGUAAAAGCACAAAUGCUAAACUUAGUUAGAUCUAUAAGAACAGUGGCAAGGGUUCCAUUAAUAUUACUAAAUAUCAUAGUGAUGGUCAUGAAACUGGUAUUGGGAUGAUUGUUGAUGUAAAUAAAAAAAACUGGGUGCUGUGAGAAGCCAAAACUCAUAAUGGAGGAGGUAAUGGUGCUCAGACGGGAAGCCGAUGAUUUUGCCGUAACUUUCUCCCCUUCCUCGCUUUCCCGGGGUAGAAGCAUCUCCGUGCAAUCGAUGGACGUGCCAAACCGCGAUGCAUCUACAUUCUGCACGGUAUUUUCCUUUCCAAAUUAAUUGUUUUCUAAACAGAAGCCAUAACUCUCGUCGCAUUUCAACGAUACUUCCAUUACAAUGUUCGAUUACUCUUAACGCUCAGGGUCUUUGUACAAGGUUGACUUUCCCUCUAAAACUGAUCCUACUUUAUUAUCUGCGAGCAUACCUUGAAAUAAAGGAAGUAAGAAACGGUUUUUA